GGAAUUUUGGACAAUGGGGGCAACCCUGAUCCAGCCAUGCCGCGUGCGGGAAGAAGGCCUUCGGGUUGUAAACCGCUUUUGUCAGGGAAGAAAUGUCCUGGGUUAAUACCCUGGGGGGAUGACGGUACCUGAAGAAUAAGCACCGGCUAACUACGUGCCAGCAGCCGCGGUAAUACGUAGGGUGCGAGCGUUAAUCGGAAUUACUGGGCGUAAAGCGUGCGCAGGCGGUUAUACAAGACAGAUGUGAAAUCCCCGGGCUCAACCUGGGAACUGCAUUUGUGACUGUAUAGCUGGAGUACGGUAGAGGGGAGUGGAAUUCCGCGUGUAGCAGUGAAAUGCGUAGAUAUGCGGAGGAACACCGAUGGCGAAGGCAGCUCCCUGGACCUGUACUGACGCUCAUGCACGAAAGCGUGGGGAGCAAACAGGAUUAGAUACCCUGGUAGUCCACGCCCUAAACGAUGUCAACUGAUUGUUGGGAGGGUUUCUUCUCAGUAACGAAGCUAACGCGUGAAGUUGACCGCCUGGGGAGUACGGCCGCAAGGUUGAAACUCAAAUGAAUUGAC
rnacentral:rRNA from 1 species